UACGAGGAUCUUGGAAGACCUCCCCAGAAAGGAGGGUGAGACAAAGACUUACUUGGAGCUGUAGGUAUUUAACUGAGGUAUUUAAAGUGUCGCAGUCAGGGGAAAAACACGACUAAUUGAGACUGCUUUUCAUUUACUCUGCAUUUAAGGUUAAAAGAUGGACAUAUCACAACCAAAACCACAAGUGCAAACUAUCCCCAUAGUUUAUGCUCCUGUCCUCAUACACCUUAAUCAUGACACAUGAUGGAAAUUCU